rnacentral:rRNA from 1 species
GACCUGGUCGAGUGGUCCGCCUAACGGUGUGUACUGCUUGACUGGGCCUUACCUCUUGGUGAGCCGGCGUGCCCUUUACUGGUGUGCGUCGGGGAACCAGGACUUUUACCUUGAGAAAAUUAGAGUGUUCAAAGCGGGGCCUUGCCCGAAUACAUUAGCAUGGAAUAAUGGAAUAGGACGUGCGGUUCUAUUUCGUUGGUUUCUAGAGUCGCCGUA